GUUUUCUUAAUAAUAGUGCGAUGUUCAAUUUGAAAAGAAAGGGAUGUUUCGAGGGAACAAAACGUUAUGGUGAAGUUGAAAUGUUGUUUUUGCUUCUUACUCCAAAUCCUUCAAAGAAUUGUCGUGAUGAUCAUGCUAUAAAACAGACCUCUUGGGGAGGUUUAUCUGUAUAUAAUAAAUAUCCGGUGUGGUGUGCAGUCCCUCAAUCUGCUACAGAUCCAGGAACAGAUCCUUACAUCGGAUUGACAGAUUGUGACAAUGCAGAGGAUAAACAUUUCAAUUUUGGU
rnacentral:lncRNA from 1 species